GAUGAACGCUGGCGGCGUGCCUAAUACAUGCAAGUCGAGCGAACAGACGAGGAGCUUGCUCCUCUGACGUUAGCGGCGGACGGGUGAGUAACACGUGGAUAACCUACCUAUAAGACUGGGAUAACUUCGGGAAACCGGAGCUAAUACCGGAUAAUAUAUUGAACCGCAUGGUUCAAUAGUGAAAGACGGUUUUGCUGUCACUUAUAGAUGGAUCCGCGCCGCAUUAGCUAGUUGGUAAGGUAACGGCUUACCAAGGCAACGAUGCGUAGCCGACCUGAGAGGGUGAUCGGACACACUGGAACUGAGACACGGUCCAGACUCCUACGGUAGGCAGCAGUAGGGAAUCUUCCGCAAUGGGCGAAAGCCUGACGGAGCAACGCCGCGUGAGUGAUGAAGGUCUUCGGAUCGUAAAACUCUGUUAUUAGGGAAGAACAAAUGUGUAAGUAACUAUGCACGUCUUGACGGUACCUAAUCAGAAAGCCACGGCUAACUACGUG
rnacentral:rRNA from 1 species